AACGCAAAUUGCGCCCAAGGCCUCGGCUAAGGGCAUGUCUGCCUCAGCGUCGGCAUACCCCCAUCGCUCACACACAUGGUGAGCGGAUAUGGCAGUCCCGGCCCGGGUCAGCCGAAUUGCAGCAGUGGCUGCCAGGACCCGCCUUAGGCGUGGCUAUUCAGUUCGGUAGGUGACCUUUGGUUACAUGCCACUGUUGGCCAUUGUGGCCUGGCGUAGCAUACUGGCAGGAAACGAGAGCGCUAGCCGCUCUUCUCAUUUCGACCUGAGGUCAGGCAAGAUUACCCGCUGAACUUAA
rnacentral:misc_RNA from 1 species